UCUCCGUUGGUGAACCAGCGGAGGGAUCAUUACAGAGAACAGACGCCGCGCCGGUCCUCCGGGGCCGUCGCGUCUAUGUCCUGCACACUUGUUGUAUUACCGCCUGCCGGGCCGUGUUGCCUCGGCGGGGUGCGCCCUCCGUCCUCCGGGCCGGCGUCCGUGCCCCGCCGCAGGUACCGCCCACAAAAACCUCUGUAAUACUAUAUGGAACCUCUGAGAAAGCUUAUAAAUAAGUCAAAACUUUCAACAACGGAUCUCUUGGUUAUGGCAUCGAUGAAGAACGCAGC
rnacentral:misc_RNA from 1 species